AAGAGAGUUACAGUAAGACUGAGGCAGAGGGGAGGGUGUUCACAAAACUAGGUGUUCAACUGGAGCAAGACUCUUUCAGUUUUGGCAGCCACAGGAGCGUUCUUUUCCUGACCACCACUGACAAAGAACAAAAAUGUUGACCAUAUUUUGAACACACCCCAGUUUUCAAAUGAAGAAGCCUGUUCAUGGUGGGUGACUUGUUUGACAGGAUAC
rnacentral:lncRNA from 1 species